UACGGGGGGAGCAAGCGUUGUUCGGAUUUACUGGGCGUAAAGGGCGCGUAGGCGGCCUGUGCAAGUCAGUUGUGAAAUCUCCGAGCUUAACUCGGAACGGUCAACUGAUACUGCUCGGCUAGAGUGCGGAAGGGGCAACUGGAAUUCUUGGUGUAGCGGUGAAAUGCGCAGAUAUCAGGAGGAACACCAAUGGCGAAGGCAGCACUCUGGGACGUGACUGACGCUGAGACGCGAAAGCGUGGGGAGCAAACAGG
rnacentral:rRNA from 1 species